UGAAGAGUUUGAUCAUGGCUCAGAUUGAACGCUGGCGGCAGGCCUAACACAUGCAAGUCGAACGGUAACAGGAAGCAGCUUGCUGCUUUGCUGACGAGUGGCGGACGGGUGAGUAAUGUCUGGGAAACUGCCUGAUGGAGGGGGAUAACUACUGGAAACGGUGGCUAAUACCGCAUAACGUCGCAAGACCAAAGAGGGGGACCUUCGGGCCUCUUGCCAUCAGAUGUGCCCAGAUGGGAUUAGCUUGUUGGUGAGGUAACGGCUCACCAAGGCGACGAUCCCUAGCUGGUCUGAGAGGAUGACCAGCCACACUGGAACUGAGACACGGUCCAGACUCCUACGGGAGGCAGCAGUGGGGAAUAUUGCACAAUGGGCGCAAGCCUGAUGCAGCCAUGCCGCGUGUAUGAAGAAGGCCUUCGGGUUGUAAAGUACUUUCAGCGGGGAGGAAGGUGUUGUGGUUAAUAACCGCAGCAAUUGACGUUACCCGCAGAAGAAGCACCGGCUAACUCCGUGCCAGCAGCCGCGGUAAUACGGAGGGUGCAAGCGUUAAUCGGAAUUACUGGGCGUAAAGCGCACGCAGGCGGUCUGUCAAGUCGGAUGUGAAAUCCCCGGGCUCAACCUGGGAACUGCAUUCGAAACUGGCAGGCUUGAGUCUUGUAGAGGGGGGUAGAAUUCCAGGUGUAGCGGUGAAAUGCGUAGAGAUCUGGAGGAAUACCGGUGGCGAAGGCGGCCCCCUGGACAAAGACUGACGCUCAGGUGCGAAAGCGUGGGGAGCAAACAGGAUUAGAUACCCUGGUAGUCCACGCCGUAAACGAUGUCUACUUGGAGGUUGUGCCCUUGAGGCGUGGCUUCCGGAGCUAACGCGUUAAGUAGACCGCCUGGGGAGUACGGCCGCAAGGUUAAAACUCAAAUGAAUUGACGGGGGCCCGCACAAGCGGUGGAGCAUGUGGUUUAAUUCGAUGCAACGCGAAGAACCUUACCUGGUCUUGACAUCCACAGAACUUUCCAGAGAUGGAUUGGUGCCUUCGGGAACUGUGAGACAGGUGCUGCAUGGCUGUCGUCAGCUCGUGUUGUGAAAUGUUGGGUUAAGUCCCGCAACGAGCGCAACCCUUAUCCUUUGUUGCCAGCGGUCCGGCCGGGAACUCAAAGGAGACUGCCAGUGAUAAACUGGAGGAAGGUGGGGAUGACGUCAAGUCAUCAUGGCCCUUACGACCAGGGCUACACACGUGCUACAAUGGCGCAUACAAAGAGAAGCGACCUCGCGAGAGCAAGCGGACCUCAUAAAGUGCGUCGUAGUCCGGAUUGGAGUCUGCAACUCGACUCCAUGAAGUCGGAAUCGCUAGUAAUCGUGGAUCAGAAUGCCACGGUGAAUACGUUCCCGGGCCUUGUACACACCGCCCGUCACACCAUGGGAGUGGGUUGCAAAAGAAGUAGGUAGCUUAACCUUCGGGAGGGCGCUUACCACUUUGUGAUUCAUGACUGGGGUGAAGUCGUAACAAGGUAACCGUAGGGGAACCUGC
rnacentral:rRNA from 6 species